GACGUAGGGCGCGAGCGUUGUCCGGAUUUAUUGGGCGUAAAGGGCGCGUAGGUGGUUCUGUAUGUCUACCGUGAAAGCAUACAGCUCAACUGUAUUUUGUCGGUAGAAACUGCAGGACUUGAGGCUGGGAGGGGCUGGUGGAAUUCCCUGUGUAGCGGUGAAAUGCGUAGAGAUGGGGGAGAACACUCGUGGCGAAGGCGGCCAGCUGGACCAGUUCUGACACUGAGGCGCGACAGCGUGGGGAGCAAACAGG
rnacentral:rRNA from 1 species